UGGGGAAUAUUGGACAAUGGGCGCAAGCCUGAUCCAGCCAUGCCGCGUGAGUGAAGAAGGCCCUCGGGUUGUAAAGCUCUUUUGUUGGGGAAGAAAAGCUUCUGGUUAAUACCCGGGAGUCCUGACGGUACCCAAAGAAUAAGCACCGGCUAACUUCGUGCCAGCAGCCGCGGUAAUACGAAGGGUGCAAGCGUUACUCGGAAUUACUGGGCGUAAAGCGUGCGUAGGUGGUUCGUUAAGUCUGAUGUGAAAGCCCUGGGCUCAACCUGGGAACUGCAUUGGAUACUGGCGAUCUGGAGUGCGGUAGAGGGUGGCGGAAUUCCCGGUGUAGCAGUGAAAUGCGUAGAUAUCGGGGGGAACAUCCGUGGCGAAGGCGGCCACCUGGGCCAGCACUGACACUGAGGCACGAAAGCGUGGGGAGCAAACAGGAUUNGAUACCCUGGUAGUCCACGCCCUAAAACGAUGCGAACUGGAUGUUGGGUGCAACUUGGCACUCAGUAUCGAAGCUAACGCGUUAAGUUCGCCGCCUGGGAAGUACGGUCGCAAGACUGAAACUCAAAUGAAUUGACGGGGUCAUAGCUGUUUCCU
rnacentral:rRNA from 1 species